rnacentral:rRNA from 1 species
UACGUAGGGUGCGAGCGUUAAUCGGAAUUACUGGGCGUAAAGCGUGCGCAGGCGGUUUGUUAAGACAGAUGUGAAAUCCCCGGGCUUAACCUGGGAACUGCAUUUGUGACUGCAUGGCUAGAGUGUGCCAGAGGGGGGUAGAAUUCCACGUGUAGCAGUGAAAUGCGUAGAUAUGUGGAGGAAUACCGAUGGCGAAGGCAGCCCCCUGGGAUAACACUGACGCUCAUGCACGAAAGCGUGGGGAGCAAACAGG